GGUUGCUUCAUCAAGUAACAGUAUUUUUGGGUCCCGAAGAAGAGCUCUCGCUAUGGAAAUCCGUUGCUUUUGACCUCCAGACAUUUGGAAACCAAACUGACCGACCUGAAAAGAAGUCGACAUACCAAAGUUGAUAACUAGUUUUCGAGCCGUGAAGUCUUAGACAGCAACCUAAUUCUGUCCAUCAUAAUCUUGCCGAACACAAGCCCUGGACCAAUGAACAUGGCCGAGAGCGGGAUGACUGCAAAGGUGAACUUCCACGAUACUAUAAAGGCAAAUACGUGGCAGAAGAAGAAUGUUGACAUAGUUUUCCAUAAGAAAAGGCAACAUAACAAAGAGGAGCAAGCCUUACCUUGUCAACCAUAUCGUUUGUCAAGCCACUGUUCUUGUCUCCAUAAGCAUUGAUUACAUCCUUAAGAAGGAACAUCGUGAGAGGGAUCUGUGAUCCAUCUCCUAUGCUACCCAAAGUCCCAAAAAACAUCAGAAACUUGUCGAAGCCAUCAGCAUACCGAAACAUGCUUUUGCCUGCCAUUUUUUCAGCUCUGUGGUCUAGAAGAGUGACAGAGAGAAAGAGAGGAGCAGCAUUCUCUGAAAUGGCCAAUGCCAGGGGCAGGGCACUCUUCAUUCUUCAUUCGAAACUAAUUAAUAUUAAGUCGGGAGGUUUUGCCUUGUUAUCGAAAAGAGAGUUGAGUAAAGCAAACUCCCUCUUUAGAUGAGCAUGGGGAUUAGUCAAGUAGAAUCGAAUUGUACUCUUGGAUGCUCCAAUCGAAAAAUCAAUGGGGCCAUGCCGGUUUGACUGAAUAUGCAUUAGAAAUGUCAAUCCCUCCACAACGACACCAAAAAAAACCGGGCCGAACUUUUACCCGCCUGCUUCCAUAGAACAAUAUCAUGGCAACAUAGACUUAAGUGGUCAUAUUGGAUCCUUGGGAACGAGAAUGUCGUGUCGUCCAACGAAGUUUGCCCAAAAAAAUGCUUGUAGUUAAAAGGGUAUCAUGUCGGGUUGCGGGUUACACUUAUACCUCUAGACUUUGAAAAGUUUCACUUCUAUCCAUUUUGUUCUAGAAAAAAUACCUUUGAACUU